rnacentral:rRNA from 1 species
UGGGGAAUAUUGGACAAUGGGCGAAAGCCUGAUCCAGCCAUGCCGCGUGUGUGAAGAAGGUCUUCGGAUUGUAAAGCACUUUAAGUUGGGAGGAAGGGCAGUAAGUUAAUACCUUGCUGUUUUGACGUUACCAACAGAAUAAGCACCGGCUAACUUCGUGCCAGCAGCCGCGGUAAUACGAAGGGUGCAAGCGUUAAUCGGAAUUACUGGGCGUAAAGCGCGCGUAGGUGGUUCAGCAAGUUGGAUGUGAAAUCCCCGGGCUCAACCUGGGAACUGCAUCCAAAACUACUGAGCUAGAGUACGGUAGAGGGUGGUGGAAUUUCCUGUGUAGCGGUGAAAUGCGUAGAUAUAGGAAGGAACACCAGUGGCGAAGGCGACCACCUGGACUGAUACUGACACUGAGGUGCGAAAAGCGUGGGGAGCAAAACAGGAUUAGAUACCCUGGUAGUCCACGCCGUAAACGAUGUCGACUAGCCGUUGGGAUCCUUGAGAUCUUAGUGGCGCAGCUAACGCGAUAAGUCGACCGCCUGGGGAGUACGGCCGCAAGGUU